rnacentral:piRNA from 1 species
UGACUUAACCUGUUUACUCUCAGA